UUCUUUUUUUUGUUUUUAAUAUAAAUGAAUCCAAUUUAGGAAUGUGUCAAUUCAAACAUACAUAUAUACUAAAGUAGACAAGUGAUUGAUUACCAUUAAAGAAUCCAAAAUUAGAAGAUGUUUGAAAAGAAUGGAUGAAAAUAAAUGGAAAAAAAUGAGGGUGUCAUUGAAAAACACGAGUCAAUUUACAAAGAGAUCCUAUAAAUUCAACACUCUUUUUCCUUUCACUUUGCCCAAAUUCAAAUAUGACUUUAUCAACAUGUUUUUUGUCUUCUCAAUUGUGGGUUACCUUGUUCAUCGUUCUGGUCACCGUUUUUCAGUCGACUAUGGCAGCUGAUAGUGGAACUGAAGAUAAAAUCAAUAGAAUAUGUCGUCAGGUGGAAGAAUUUGAGUUUUGCAGCCAAACCUUCCAUCAGAAUUUGAAAAGUGGUUCAGCAGACUAUAUUGGACUAACUGAAAUAGCAAACAAUCAAGUGUACACGAAGGCAUCUAGUACACUUGUUUACAUUGAACAACUUUUGAGAAGCGUAAGUGAUCCAACAACAAAGAAAGCGUUACUAGUGUGUGAAAAUGGAUAUUAUGCAGUAAAUGAAGCGUUUGUAGAAGGGAUCCGAUGGUUCUCACAAAAAUAUUACAAGGAAAUGUUGAAUGUUGAGAGGAAAGCACCAAGCGCACAAGCAAGUUGUACUUCGAUAUUCAGCACUACACCACCACCCAAACAAAACCCACUUUUUCAAAUUAAUAGGGAUAUGAGAAUUCUCAUUGCUAUGGCUAUAGCAUCUGGCUCUAGCAUUAGUUGAUUUUAAAUUCAUAAAAGCUUGUGUGUUGUUUUAUGAUGUAAUAAUCCAUUUGAUGAUCAUUUGGGGAGCACACUUUAACACAGAUCUUCAAUUGAUUUUUCAAAAAUUAAAAUGGAGUUUAUAUUAUUCAAUUUUUAUCAUUGUUAUUUCUCUACUUAACUAUUUUAGGCUGAGGUAGUGCUUAAAAAAUAGUCACCACUCUACUAAAUAGUUUUGAGCGAAUUUGGUCAAAUAUACUAAUACAUAUCAAUUUAUUACGUUGAAUUAUGUUUACUUUGGUAAAAUACUAUCUUUUUCUCUAUACUUUGAAUUUUAAUUCACUUCGAUCCAUGCAUUGUUAACUUUGAUUCGUGCACAUUCAAUUUUUGCAUCAAUUUGCUCAUUGUGCUUCAGAAUGUUUGUUUUGGUCUAUAUACUUUAAAAGUAAUCAUUUUGAUCACUUUAUACCCAAUUAAAACUCCUUGAUACAAAUAUUUAUGACUAUAUUUUAAGAAAUUUAGAAUGGGUAAUUACACUAGAUAACAAUUUUUAGAAUAAUUAUUAAGUAUGUAGCAAUUUUGUUAUAUACUUAAUUAUUUUGGUUAUAAUUGCUAUAUUUGCAACUUUUGAAUUGUAAUAAACUCUAGGAGAUGGAUCUAUAUUAUAUUACAAUUGUAAAUCAAAUCCAAUUUUUGAAUCUAACGGUUAUAUUUGUAACUAUUUUUCCUAAAUCUCUCCCUACCUCAAAUUAGAAACCAAAGCAACUCUAAACGUUAUAUAUACUUGGUCGUUUUAAGUACAAAAGCUCAAUGUUGUUUUAAACUUUUUCUAAGAAACUAAAAUGGACACUUUCGAGUUUUAAGAACGAAAUGCUUUAUUACUAUUUUAACUAGAAUAUAAGAGUAGUCAUUCAUGGGGAUUGUUGGAAAUGACUAUCAAUGUAUUAGUUAUAAUUGAAAAUUAAUUAUAAUUAUUAUUAUUAUUUUGUUGUUCUAAAAUCAAUAUACUUUAUAUAUAUAUAUAUAUAUAUAUAUAUUAGGGUAUUUUGAUGUCGUAGAGCUCUCUCUUCUUCAAAGGAAAAACCUAGGUUUCUUUCUCUCGGAGCAAAAAAAUUUCUUCUGAUUCUAUUUUGACUCCCACAAGUGCACACAUGAGUAGAAAGUUGUGUUAACCUUGAAGAACAAUCGACAUAUGCAAUUUCGCACUGAGGUUGCGCUGAAUUUUGGUUUCAAGACAGUGGUUCGACACGACACAACAAUGAUCAAUUUUGUUUUUCAACACUUAAAGUAGUUUUUGUAUGUUCAUUUCUUAGCUAUGGAAUUCUUAACAAAGAAUUCAAAAACAGAAGUUAAAAAGUUAAAGCAAAAACACAUUUGGCCAAACCAAAACAGACAAGUAUAAAUUAGCCAAAGAAGAAAAACUAUAUUGUUUUAUUAAAGAGGAUCUCAAACCUCUAACCUUUAAAAGAAGUUUUCACAGUCAACAAAUUGAAUUGGGUUAGUAGGAAAUGUAAAAUGUGAAUAAGUAGAAAAAGUUCUUUGAACUCAAUGACACAAUUGUACAACCUAAAGAACAGACUUGUCGAAGUAAGGUCGUAAAGCAGGUAAGACUCUAGUCUAGUCAUAUCUAAAAUGAAGGAGGUAUACAGCUUUCCCAUUGUUGUUUCUCAAGAGUUUAACUUGCAUGUAUCCCAUGUGGCUAUUUUUCCAAGAAGGAUCCUUAACUUUUUCCCUGUAAUGUACUUGAAGGAAAGAAAGUGGCAUCCCACAAAGCACAAUCAGUUACUUUUUCUCCCAAACUUAUUAUUUAAACAGCUUUUUCUAAGUUUCCAAAGAAAGCCACUGCUCAUACAAUCUGUUCUUUUAAGAAACCAACAAUGAAUUGCUGUCUAAAUCUUACCUCUUUCAUCCCAGCUCUUCUUUUGGCAGCUUUUUCCCUAACCGUUUUCCCUUCUCAUGGAAUCCCCCAUGAAAAUCUGGUCACCAUUUGCUCUAAAACCUCCAAUCCGUCGCUCUGUGAGAAAAUCCUUAAUAAUGAUUCCCGUACCGUCUCGGCCAACCUCCCUAAGCUCUCACUUAUAUGCAGCAAUCUGGCCAAGAAACAAGCAGAUCAAAACCUUGAUACCUUCUACAAACUAAGUAAGAAUGAGAGUGAUCCCGAGGAGAAGAAAAGUUUUGAGCAUUGUGUGAAGUAUUACCAUGAAAUUCAAUCAAAUAUCCAAAAAGCUUAUCAGUUCUCACAGCAGAAGAUCUUCAGAGAGAAUGGUCCAUUGGUGGCAUCAAAGAGACUUGUUCUAAAGUGUAGUCAAGCCAUUAGAAUCAAUUCAUUGUAUAUUGAAGUCAUGAACAAACUUAUGAUCCUAUGUUGUGAUAUUUCAAUAAGCGUAAAUCAAUGUGCUGCUGCUAAUGGUCACCAUUCAGUAAAUGUUUGAUAAAAGCAAUAAGUAAUGAAACAAUGAACAUUACUUAUUGUUCUUAUUGUUUUGUUUGAGUUUGUCUGUUGAAUAUGAACUAAAUAAGUUUGUUAGUUGAAUUUUUCUUCUACGUAAUGUUUUGAUUUAUCCCUAGACUAAGAAAAGUAAAUGAUGAAAGAGAUAAAUUGAAAAAUUUUGUAAUUAUAUGGAAAAGAAAUGUGAAUCGUGGAAGUUUUAGAAAAAGAGUAUAACAUGCAAGGAAGAAAUUUGAAUUCUUGAAUGUACCACUAUAGCAUGCAAGAUCAGAUUUGUUUCUCUCAACUUGUAAUUUCCAAAACGAUAUGCAAAAAGAUCUACUAUAGCUAAGUAUAAACCAACAAACAAUUAAUAUAUAUCUUCCUUUUUACUUUAAUUUGAGUUAUUUGAACUGAAAUCACCAACCAGAAAAUCAAGAGAAAAUGUAUAAGAAUGCAUGCCAAGAUUGUGCAUAAAAUAGCAGCACAAUAGCAGCACAAAGUAUCCUAUAAAAGCUACUCUCACCUUAUUCUGCUUUUGUCAGAAUUCCAAACAUUAGCACCCAAGUAAGAAUCGCUUUCUCAUAUUCUUCAUAACUGCUAACCUUCUUCCUCACUCUCUUCAUUGUUCAUCCAGCUUUGGGUGACCCGGCAACACAGCAGCAGAUAAAUCGAAUAUGCCAUCAAAAUGAGGAUUAUGGGUUUUGCAAUAAAACCUUCAAUGAAAAUCUGAAAGGUCCAGCAGAUGAUGUUGGUUUGGUCUUGAUAGCAAAUAACCAAGUGCUGAGAAACACUUCCAGGACCUCAGUUCAUUGUUGAACUUCAGGCCAGCACUGAUGAUACAGUAACGAAAGCUGCUCUCAAGACUUGCAGAAUCGGUUGAAGCCAGGUCAGGCAGGCAUUGGUGCAGGCAAUUUCUUACUUCAAUCAGAAAGACUAUGCCAAUAUGGUCGAGGCUGAAUGAGCAGCACCAAGAGAAGAGGCUUCCUGUAGACCACCAACACCAGAUAGCCCAUUGGUCGAGAGGAAGAGGGACUUGAGAAUCCUCAUUGCAAUGGAUGCGGUCGCAGGUCAUGUUCUUGCCACUUGAUCUAUUCGCUCAUCCCUGCCAGACUUAAGUGCACACAGCCUCAUUACACAACUAUGUUAUAGUGUAAUGUACGUAGAUAAGAAUAUAUUUGUAUGGUAGUAUUAAAGCGGUAUAGGGGUAAUUUGGUAGGAAGUUAGUUACGGAGUCUUGUUAUAAAGAUAGGAUGAGUGAGAAAAGGUAGACAACUUUUUAGUGAUCUAGAGCUUGAGUUGGUGUGCUCGAGGGUGGUUUAUCUUGUAUUUCUUCAUAGUUAUAUUUCAACGAUGAACAUCAUGAAGUUGAUGCUUUCAUUCAUCUAAAUUGGUCGAAGUAAAAUGUAAGUACUUUGGCUGCUUAAAUUAACCAUAUCCCAAAAGCUUAUAACAUUGCUCUGUCAUUUAACUGGAUCCACAUCUGUAUACAUGACAAAAAAUGGGCAUAAAACUAACCCCGACUUCCUGAUGAACAACACUGAAAAGAAACAUUCUAUUUCCACCAAAUCUCACAUGAAUCACUAGGAACGGAGUACAUUUAGCAUUAAGGAUGGUAAAUUAUCAAGUAUUCUGCACAAUGAUAUCAUGAGCCUUUCUUUCUUGAAUUUAAUACUGACAAAAUGAAGGAUAUCCUAAGCUCAUCGGCCAAGCAAAGCAACACGAUCUUUUUGCACUGCCUGCGCUAGGUUGAUGUCAAAGAGCUCGCACCGUAUAGGCAUCUCCAUCUCGUAGAAUGGAUUCUUCAAUACAAAAUCUGUGUAUAGUUCAUAAAUGUACUUCAGAAGACUCUCCAUGUGCUGAGUCCCAGGUUCACACACAACAAAAAACUUUGUCCCUGCAACAGACAAUUUCCAUCCAUGAUUCUGGUUCUUUAUAAAGUUAAUGCCGUGACACUUUGCAGAGAUAAAAAAAAUUUGAACAAGGAAAUAUAAAAUUAUACUUCGGAACAAGCAUUUCUAUUUCUUAUGUAGGUUGGUUGAUAAUGAAAAAUUUAUUAAUUCUUCACACCAAAAGCCAUUCAUAUCCAUAUCAAAACAAUCUUUAAAUCUCCUCCCCCUAUGCAAGUAGCAAAGUGUAAUGACAAAAGAUUAAACAUGAACAGUUACAGAGUCGAGAUUUCAAAAAACUAAUUUUGUGGUUUCUGUUGACCACAUGCUAAUUUUUUCCUCCAAAAGUUUGACAACACAAAAAUAUUUGCGAAGGAGACUACGGUAUAUUAGUAUGGCUAUUAAAAGCUACACUUUUCUAAUAAAGGAUUAAUGUCAUUUCUAACUAUCUGAGUACAACUCAACUAAUCAAGACAUAAUAAUCUCAACCAAAAUUUAUGUUUUAAUCCCCACUCUCAUACAUUCUUAUACUUGAAACAAUAAACUGAACAAAGAUCAAUUUCAAUAACCAAAAUUUAUAUUUGAAUCCCCACACUCAUAUCUAUGGAGACUAUAGCAUGGCUAUAAAGAAAAAGGCUACAUUUUUCAACUAGAGCAUCAAUAUCAUUUUUACAAUCAAGCAAAACUCAACCAAUCAGGCACAAUAAUUUCAACCAAAAGUUAUGUUUGAAUCCCCAUCCUCAUAAGUUCUCGAGCUCAACAAGAAACUUAACAAAGAUCAAUAACGUUUCUAGAACUUCAGCUGUGCUUUCCCACUCUGGGAUUCACUUAACUGCUUAUCUAUGGAAUCACAGAAUGUGAGGCAGAAACCAUGUGUUUGAGGCAAAAAAAGUAAACAAAAUACAGGAAGGAAAAACGUACCAGUGAGUGACUGGAAGCAAUGGAGAUCGAAAGUGUCAGCUUCAAGAAGUUCAACACCCGAACAACCAGCUAUAGGCGAAAGCUGCUGGGAAAUGGCAUGCAUAGAAUGCCACAAACUCGCCACUCUCAAACUGUCAUUCGUAUCCAUUCGUCCAGCAGACCCAUAAUCCUAAAUUUUAAAACAAACCCAAUAAGAGGUUCAAGCCAUACAGAAUACCCAGAACCGAAUUAUAUAUCUUUGUAAUAUGAGAUGAAAAAACUGAAAUCUGGGGUUCCCAGAAACGAAAUAAAGCUUAAAAAAUCUCAACCCAGGUGGAAAUGAAGGGAAAUUUGUGUUUCCAAUUGCGUGAACAAGUAGUUUGAAUAGGUUGAUUACCUUGUAGAAGAUCAAACCACCAGAUUUAUUGAUGAUGUAGAGGCUGUAAAUCGCUGCCAUCGUCUUUAGAUCUAUCCAAAAUUUGAAGAAUUAUGAAGGAAAUGAGAAUAAAAAUAAAUAUGGGUGUGGAUAGGGAUUAAGUGUGGGUAAGAACGUAGAUUGGAAGGCGCAAAAUCCAGUUCAGUGAACGCCGAUCUUAAGGCGGAGUUUCGGGGAGCUUGAGACUGGGGGGGAGUUGCCAGUGGCGGGGAUCAAAUGUAAUUACGACGACUUUCUUUUUUCUUUUUUCUUUUUUCUUUUUCAAUUUCUAUACUAAAAUAGGGGAAUUAAAAUACUUUUCAAAAAAUAUUAAAUUUAAUCUAGGUUGUUUUAUAAUAAAAAUUUAUUUUAUUAAUUGUUUACAUUUUUUCUCCAAAUUAUGAAACCUAAUGCUUUUUGUUUUACUGUUUGAAAAUAUUAUUGUUAUUUAACUUAAAUUGAAUAAAAAAAUUAUUUUAAAAGAUAGAAAUGUUUAAAAUAUUUAUAAAUAUAGCAAAUUUAAAAGAUUUUCUUUUUUUUUUUCCCAAAUAGUUAACGUAUGUUAUUGGACUCUCCAAGUAACUAAUGAUUUAACGUGGAUUUUUGUCUAUUAAAAAAUGUUAAUGAAUGAUUAAAGGUUGAUUUGAGAGAUGUAAGCAUAAAAAAAAAACUAGUUUAACAUAUACAAUGAAAUUUAGACCAAAUUAUAGGGAUUUAAUUGAAAGUUUAAUGCUAAGUUGAUGUCACCCUUCCUUGGGCGUUUCCAAUUUGUUGUUUAGAAAACUAAUUCAAUGGUCUUCCUUGAGUCAUUUAUGGUUGUAACAUGGCUGAGUAACGAUAGCUUCUUGGUUAACAGUAAACCAUUCCCCAUCGAUAUUAUUCCUCGUGGAAUUUACAAUAUACAUAUCUCACGAGUGUCCACAUCCGCUUAGACAUAACAAACCACUGUUCCAAAUUUGAUCAUUUCUUCAUCUAAGACUGGAAUGUUAUAGAACUUGCGAAAUAGCAAAGAAUUGAUAGCCAAUAAAUGGGAGUUCUUUAUCAUAUGAUCCUAAUUGACGUAUUUAAUGUCAAGAUUCAAGACAAACGAACAUUCAUUCAAAACCAAAACCGAUCUCUUGAAAUUUCUAAAAUUGUAAUUUUUCCACUUCACCCUCUUCUUUCUUCGUCUUUAUCGUGCCUUUCCCAAGUACUUAACUGCUUCCAUUUCUUCUGAAAUCAAGAGUGACAUCCCAACUCUAAGAAAGAAGCAAAUUACUAUUUUAUUCUGUCCUGAAUUGAGAAGGAUGUGUUAGGAAAGGUGUCCAUUCCAUCUCCCUCCUCGUUUGAUUGAUUAUCAUACGGCCACAAAUGUGCUUCAAAAUGGCUGAGUAUACCUGCAAACAAACACAUAUCCCUGGAUAGGCUACACAAGAGAGGAGUCUUCAUCCGAGCAACAUAAACUAGCACAAUCCAUGAACGACUAAGAUCAUGCUCAACGGUGAUCUUGGUAAAACCUAGAUUGAUAUUCCAGGAAUUAAAAUGGAAAUUUGGGAAACAAUGGGAUGCAGAGGGGGAAAAGCUCUACAAAUGACCAAUUCUCAACAAAUGAUAAUCUGCUAUUGAAUGUGCAAGUUUGUGAUCCAAUUUAAUUGUAAAAAAUGCCUGAAGUGAAAAGGCAUUCGUCUUAAACAGAGUACAAAACAAAUAAAAAGUGAACAAAGGAUCAAGGGCACAUCCAGAUAUAUCAACUAGAUGGAGUAAGGAGGCAAUAUGCAGCUUUUAAGGAGUGAACACCAAGGUUGUAUACAUGUAGCCACAUAUUGUUGAAAGCUUCCCCACAUAGAAAGUCUGGGAAAAACUGAAGGAUUACAAUAAAUGGCAUUCAUAUAGCUUAGGUUUUUGUUAUGUGCUGAUGGCUCAACAAUCGAAUCAGCACAAGACCGUCCAUAAGCACAGAGACUUCAAACAACAGAAAAAGCGUAUGAAUUCUAGAAUCUAGAGAAUCAACUAAAUCCAAGACAAAUCAACAAAAUCACAAAGAGCAAUGACAGCUACAUUACUACAAACAGCUUAGUUUCAGAUAUUUGCCAAUGCAACGGAAGCUAUCCCUAAAAUUCCACUAUGACAAACUUGAACAUCACGAUGCAUGAGAGCCAGUUAAUCAGCAGAGGACCAUACAAGCACAUUGCAACUGUCAUUCACAAAAAUAGAAACACGCAAGAGAUGUGUGAUAGAAAGACAUUGACAACCAAAGAAUUAUCAAAAGGCUUGAGAUGUGUAUUAAAAGAUAUAUGCCAUUGCACAGAUAGUUCACCUCACUUUAUACAGGGGAACUUGUAAAAGACAGUGGCAAGAGUGUAGCUUAGGUUUUUGUUAUGUACCGAUAGCGAGAAAUGAAUCGGCACAAGACCGUCCAUAAGCACAAACACAAAUAGCCAGAUGAUUAAAAAUUAGCACCAUGUUGUGAUUCAGACAUCUGCCAUAACAUGGAUAUAUUUUCCUUAAAAAACCUAAAGAAAAACUUGAAAGACAAAGAUGGCAAGAAUGUAGCCUAUGAAUAUGUUGUGUGCUGGUGAUGGUAAAUUAAUCAUCACAAGACCGCACAUAAGCACACUACCAAAUAGCAUAAAUAACCAAAAAGUUAAUUUCUGUACACAACAUUUCAUGCACUUUCUUGGUGCUAACUGCUAAGGACUUGGAAAGUUCAGAGACGUUUUUUAAAAAGAUAAUCGAAACUGAUGCAAACCGUAGAUCAAAAAGUUCUUUUGUAUAUCCGUGAAUCCUAGACAGGUGAUCACCGCAGAGUAAACACAUUCACCCGAAGUUCUUUGCAAACCAUAGGUUGAAAAAACCAAAUAACAUAAAAAUUCUUGGGGCUAGACAUUAGAUGGGUGAAGACCUCAAAAUUAGCUUUGAAACAUAAUGUAAUGAAUGUGGCCCAAGACCCAGUUAAAGGAAAAAUACACACAGCAAUGCAAAUAAAAUAAUUGUAUUGUUAAAUCAUGGAAUGGACAAAAAAACCACUCAGGGACUCAGGGUAUCUCAGAAGAGAAGAUCAAAUUUUCAAGUAAAGUGGAUUUUUUUACACAAAAAGUGCCAUUGAUAUAUGGAAGCUAGAAGAAUCACAAACCAACUACAAUCUCCCACAAUCAUCAUUGUAAUGAAUAACAAUAACAAAUUCUGAAAAUAAUAACGUCCACAAGUGAUAGGCAAAAUGAAGGAACAAAAUUUAAAGCUUUAAACAAACAAAUCAAAAUGUAAAUCGGAAGAAAAAGGGGUGCAGAUUGAGCUUGAAAUCAUGGAAUUGACAAAAACAGAGGCAAACCCAUCAGGAAUAUGGUGAUAAUUAAGAGGAAAAUGAUGCUGAAAACAAAACAAGUUGCAAGACGUGUUAAUAUGGGUUCGAAAAUGCAUAAAAUGGGGACUAAAAUCAAAGGGAGUCGCAAAGGAAUAUGAUCAUUCAGAGAAGAAACUAAGAAUCGGCGGGUUGGAAAUUGGGCAUUAUAUAUAAGAAGUGUUGCGGCGCUUAAGGUUUUAUUCUGGAGGGAGCUCGGUGAUUUCUAGGGUUAUCGGUUGCAGUUGGGUGGGGGUGGCCAUUCAAACCCCAAAAAAACCAAACCGUUUCUUUAAAUCGAACCGAACCGAAUAUUCAAAGAAUUCAAAAAUUGAGAAAGGAUAAAUGAUGAUGUGAAGUGAAAAAAAUUUAUGGUGUUGGUCCUUGUAAUAUGCAGUCACGAUAAGAAUAUCAUCUAUGGUGGGAUUAAUAUAUCCGAUUACACAUGAUUACAAGGUAUAAUAAGAAAAACAAUGAAACCAUUAUUGAUUCUUAUUGCAGAUUUAGAUAAACAACCACGAAUACAAUCUAAUGGGAUACUCGAUCACCUCCCUAAAUUUUGUUUCAACGAUGAUUAUGAUGGUAACACUCGUAUUUAAGAAAGACUGAAUUGUUAGCGCUAACAAUUGAGUUAAUUAAGCACGCAUUGAGGAAAUGGUACACGUUAGAACUUUUCGACGUUUAAGUGGUUCUAUGCGAUUGAGGUGUUACACGAGAUGCGAAAGUCUAGGCGAGAGAAGAAGUAAGAAAAGUUCUCAUAAAUUUCAAUAUAAAUGUUUCUAAAGAUAAUUACAUAAAAAGCUUGUAUGUUUUAAGAGUAUGAUUUGAUUAUGAUAUGAUGUUCAAAUCAUUAGUUACUUACUAUCAAUCAAUGAGCUAACUAUUAUGUGCACAUAAUGAGUCAGCAACCAUGGAGAGAACACCAUUUAUAUUGUGAGAUGAGACAGGACAAUGUAUAAAAGAUGUGUAUUGUGCUUCAACUUGAGCAACAAGAGUGAAUAUGUAUAUUCUCGGAUGUUGUUGUUACAGUAGUCUAAACGCAGAGUAAUGAGACCUAGCUAGCGUAGAGAAUGAUUUGGGAUCCUUGGCAAAAAGAAUGUUUGAUAACCAAUGUGUGUUUAUGCAAGAUGAAGCAUUUGUGCGAAAUGAUAUGUUUAUAUAAAUUGAUAUAUUAUAUUUAUGUUUCAUGUUAUAUUUGAUAAAAUGAUAUUUGCAAAAGUUUUGCGAAAAGAAUUUCUUAAAACCUCACUAAGUCCGUUGACUUCCACGUUUUAAAGUUUACUUUCCAAAAACCAGCCGUUAAGGCCAAGUGAGGGUUGUUGGAGAGCCGGUUAGGCGAGAAAGCUGUCAAGGCGUUUACCUUUUCAGUUUAAGUGUUUUAUUUGCAUUGUUGUAAAGUGUGUUGUAGACAUUGCUUAAAGCAAAAUAAAAAGUUUAAGUUUAUGUCCCUUGUGUUGUGUUUUCUUUGUCGCAUAGUAAGAUUAAAGGACUUAAGUUUGAGCUAAGCGAUAAAACCAAGUAUCAAGAACUCAAGGACUUAAGCUGAACAUCUUUUGUGCUUAACGAGUCAGAAAUACUCAACUCAUGUCGUGUUUUACGUACCAAGCAAGGACGUACGUUGGAUAGGGUGUGACAAUGAUCAUGACGAUAUUAGAUUUUCAAGUAAAUGAGUAUAUAUAUCAACUAUUGUUGAGUUAUGUUUAACUUCGAUAACAUUAAUUAUAUAUCAUUAUACCAUAAAUAGUUUUAUAAAUGUCUAAGGUUACUAAUAUAUUUGAACUUCUAACAGCUAAACAUAAUUAAAUGAAUAUGACAUUACUAUUCGCCAAAAAGCUUAUCAUCGUUUUCCUGAGCUUCUUCAUACCAAUAUUUGUUGAACUAAAACAAUAACUUUGCUACUUGGAGUUGUUUCUAUCAUUAUUUUUAAGCCAACCAAAGUUUAAAAGAAGGUGUGUGUAAACAAUAAUUAUUUAGUUGGACUGAGAGAUCAAAACAUCGACUCUAAAGUGGUAUAUGGAAACUCAUGUAUAUCAACUACAUUAUGUUUAAAUUUUGACAACAAAAAAAAAAAUGAAACUUAUAGCAAUAAAUUCCAUAAAGAAAAUUUUGAACAAUACAAAUUCUUGGGAACAUAUCAUAUAUAUUAUACAUGAGGGCUAAACUUGCAAAAGAAAAAAAACUUUACAAACACUUCAAAUUUGAACACUUUGAAAAGAACUUUUGAAGACAAAUUUUGGGAUGAAUAUAUAUAAAUCUUUCCACAUCAUUUGAUUUUCUUUGAUCAUUUUCCUCUCCACAUUUACUUGAUGUUUGUGAUUUGCAAUUCAAAAUCAUCCUUCUCUUCAAUAAUAUGACUUCCAUUAUGCUUUUCUAUUGUUGGCUUUUCCAUGUUGUGUUGAGCAUCUUCUACUUUCAUCUCUUUGGAUUUUCCCCAUAGCACAGCAUAAAGCCCAGUGAUUAUCAAAACAGAGCCAAUAACACUGUUGAAUCCCAAAAAAACAACAAAUAAUUAACAACUUUAGAAAUUAACACAAAAUUCUACCUCUGAAACGUUGAAAUGAACACGCUGCUUGAUAAUAAUUUUGUUUCUAGUUUUCUAUUUUCUUCAAAAUUUUCAAUGGGACGAAGAUAAGAAACACUUAAAUCCCUAAUCAAUUUUUUAAAAAAAAAAAAAAAAACAAAAACAAAAAGGGGGUUUGUUUUUUAAAACAUUAGAAAAAGUUGAUAAAAAAACAUAAAAACUAAAAUACAAAAGGAAUAACUUUCAAAUGGGGUCUACGAACAAGACAUAUUAGAAACUUGAAUUUAGACUAAGAUUAAAUUUUAAACAUCAAUCUAAUAAGCUAAGAUAUGAUAGGUUUUAUGUACGUUUUUAAAGAGUAAGAUGGUUAAAAUGACCGUUUGGUAACGAUAAUAAUGUUUAGAAUUGAAGAAAAAUGCAUGAGAAUACGCACGUUCCAGCGUGGAGUUGUUGAUGGAGGAGAGCCCAACUGAUUAUGGCCACAAUGAUAAGCAAUAAAGGGGAGAAAAUGGAGACAUAGAGAGGGCCUUUCCUUUGUAUAGUCCAUGAAGUGAUACUAAAUGUCAAUGCAGAACACACAACUCCCUGUCAAUAAACAACAUAUAACAUAUCAUAUAUCCAAUAGUUUCUCAAAAGUUUAUCGUAAUGACAACUAAGUACGGUACAUACUGCGUAAAGAGCUGCGACGAGUCGGAUUGAACUUUUCAAAGACCAAGCAGCAAUAUUGUGCUCUGAAAUCACAGCUAUAAGUCCACAUUGAAAAAAGGCCAUGAAGCACAACAAUGCAGUACUUGUAUAGGGAGCUUUGAACUUGACACUCAAUCUUGCCUACAAAGUAUAUAUAAUAAGUUUCUCAAGUGGAUUGAAAAUUAAAUGUAGCAAAAUUAGGGUAAUGGGUGAUUUAAAAAGUAAUUACUUACUUGGAUGACAAACCAUAAUGCCCAUGAAAAAGAACUCAAAAGCAACAAAAUCGAACCGAGUACGUGCUUUCCUUGACCAUUCGUUGGGGUUGUUUCCUUGAUCAAUCUCUCAACAUAUGACCAAUGAAUUCUUGAUUCACCUAAGUCGAUGGUGUGUCCAUGGUAGAAAGACAGUAGCAUUGCCCCACUUACACACACAAUUGUCCCUAUUACCUUUGCAAAACCAGAUUUGGUCUUGAUUCUCACACUCUCUUGUCUGCCCAAAUAAAUUAUUGCAUAUUAUAUACAUUAUUUAUCAAGCCCUUUCGAUGAAAAAAAAAAUUAAAAAAACCCUUAAUUUUUUCUUAAAAAACAUCCCCUAAAUCCAAAGAAUAAUGAUAAUUUAUAAAGCUAUAUUACAAUUUCUAGUACUACAAUCAUUUUUCAUAUUACCUCAAUUUCCAAUAUUUAAUGGAAUUAUAGUUGGACCCAUAAAAUACUAUUAACAUAUUUUCUAUGAUGACGUACGACGUGUCAAAUAUCGAAUAGAUAUAGUACAUGACAUUCUAUAUAUAUUGUAGACUCUUAGAUGCAACAAGUGGAUUAUACGUUACAUAAAACUGAACGAAAAUGAUGCAUAUAGAAAAAUGACCUGAAGAGAACAGCAAGAAUAAAAGUAGCAGCUGGAAGAACAUUGGCCAUAGCACUUGAAAUUGUUGGGUUUGUGUACUUUAACCCAACAAAGAAGAAUAUCUGAUUCCCUGUUGCUCUGUCGUCCCAUAACAUUCAGAAUGUUUAGGUUAGGUCUGCUCUUUGUUCAAUUUCUCAAUUAUAAUUAUUUACUUUUUAUUUUUUAAAAAACAAAACAUUUUGAAAACUAAGAAAAAAACCCAAAUCGUAAUCGAAUUAAAAUUGUUCAAAACUUACUGAUGAAACCUUUUGAGUUUUGACUCACCCUGAUAAGGAACACACAAAGAUUUGAAACAAAACUGCAAAAGUGAUCUUUGGCCUUGUUUUCCUGCACCCAGAAAAACUCAUAAUAUAUUAUAAAAAAUAAAAAGAUAACACAAGAUUACAUGAAUCUUUACAAGAUGACAAACAAAAAAAAGAAAAAAAUCAAACAUAAACCAAGAAACUAAAGAUUCUUUUAUUAUUAUUAUUAUUAUUAAAGAAAAUGACACCAUAACAAAGAAAUUAAAGAAUCAGGGGUAUACCUUUCAGUAAGAAAGGCAAAAGGAGCAAUGGCCAAAGUGCCAAAAAUCUGUCUAUAAGUGAGAAGAACAAGAGGGUUCAUUCCAGAUUGCAUAGCAAGCUUAGAGAUGAUGUUAAUACCAGCAUAACAUAUUUGUAAUAUAAUCAUCCCUAUCAGUGCUGUAAUAUCAUCCCCUUCCAUUAUUCUUCUUCUUCUUGUUCUUGAGAGAUCUUUUCGAGAGAGAAGAUCAGAGAUAAGUUGUUAAUCCAUGCAUGGGGGACACAGAGAGAAGGAGAGAGGAGAGACAGAUAUAUUUUGAACAAGUAUAUAUUAUAUAUAUACGUGUGCGUGUGUGAGGUUAAUAAGGAGAGAGGAAUUAGGUACAGUGAGAAGUUAUGCAAUAAUAAUGUUGAUUUAUGUUAGACGUAUGAGAGAGAAUAUUAAAAGUUUUUAUUUUGAAUUUCAAUAUUUAAAUGGUAAGCUAACUUGAGUAUUAAUUGUAAUUUAACUAGUUCAUUUUAAAGGGUAUGGAUUAAAUGUAUGUUCAUGUCGAAAUUAAUAGAGAAAACUACUACGUCCCAAAAUGGCCAAUCUUAUUCUAGUAGUUUAUGUUAUUAACUCUAAUUCAUUUUUUUAUGACCAUCUUUUUAUUCACUGUCAUGCAUAUAUGUCUUCAAAUAAAACAUAUUUUAUAGAGAUAAGAUUAAUAGGGACUAAAUUUUAUUUGGAUACCAUAAGGGAAAAAUAACAUUUAAUAAAAAUGGAACCUAAAAACUAUCAAAAUUAUAUAUUUUAACUUCAAACGAUAAGAGAUAUAGUUAUGAACAAACGUAUGUAUAUGCCAAUGUGUACGUAUACAUCAAAACUAUCAUGCAUUGUUUUGUUAUCAAAUACAAUUUCGAGAUAUAUAUAAUUAGAAGGAAGAUUUGUUUAUUAUUUAUUUUUUGGCAAGAGUACAAUGGAAGUAAAGAAAGACACAUAGGUCAACAUUGUUGGCACAAUUUAAGCACUUGCAUGGAACAGAAAGUUGCCACUAGGCUACAAAGUUGGUUCUUACGGGCACAUUUGGAGAAAAGGAUAAAAUUAGAACUUGAACCCAAAAGAAAAAAGAAAAAGAAACUAUUUCCAUAAUAUUACAAUGAGAAUACUCCUCUUGGGAUUUUUCAUUUGCCAAACUUUUUCUUUGUUGUUGGGUUAUUGCAUACAGCUCAUUUGGGGUUCUGCAUGGCUGAAGCUUGGGAUUAGUGAAAGGUGGUGCAAGUCGAUUGGAUAAAGGGAGGAAUUGAUUAAUUAAUGUGGGAAAAUGAUCCAUACGUAGCUAUAAUAUAAAGUUUUUAUUCUGCAUUGGAAAUAUAAUAUAAUGUUUAGGGAAGAGGAUAAGUCCCACAAAAAUGCAACCAUUUAUGGCAAUGUAAUAACAACUCAUGAAUAAUGGGGAAGGUUGGCAAAGAUUAUUAAGAAACGAAAUAGCUCAAUUGCCUACAAAUACAGUGAAAAAAUAGAAACACAGUAUAUGGUGUCAUCCACCUUACACACCCAAAUACUUAAGUCAACCUGAGUUUUUGAUUAAAUUGAUAGUACAAUAGUAGAAGAUCUUUAACAUACCUCACUUUAAUAGUUUAGAGUUUUUUCAAAAUAUAAUAAAACACAAAAAUAUUUACGCUAUAUAUAGUACAAGUUUGGAAAAUGAAAAAGCCAAACAAAUCCACAAUGUGAAAUAACAAAAAUACCACACAAUUAGUCCAUUACACAUGCGCGAAAAAAGCUUUGAAUUUAAACAAUCGUAUAAUAUAGUCUAAAAGAUCGUUUAAAUAUUGGUACACAAUCAUUUAGAUCUUGGUAAACGAUCGUUUUGAAUCUAUUCACUUAUUCAUAUGGGAUAGACGACGAUUGAUCGUUUAGAUAUUGGUACAUAAAACAAUCUUAAUACACGAUCUUGGUACAAGAUUGUGUAUUAAGAUCAUUUAGAUCUUAAUAAACGAUCGUUUAGAUCUAUGAGUUAUCUAAUUCAAUUGGGACAUAUAAUGAUAAUGAUCUAACUAUGUCUAUUUGGUACAGAUGACUAAUGUAUUAAAAUUUGGUAUAAUGAUUGUGUAGUAAAAGAAGAUGCGAGAUGACAAACAAGAAAGAAAUGAUGGAAAAUGAGAUGAAAAAUUGUGAACAAAAAGGAGUAGAAAUACAAAGAAGAAGAAGAGGAAAUAAUUUUAAAAAGAUAAGCGAAAAUUCAAUACCCGUCUUGAGAAAUGCAAAACCAAUAAAGAUGAUUCUGGCCAACAUGAACUUUAACUCAAAUGUCACAUAUUUGUACGUGAAGAUAGGAGGUUUUGAGUUCAAAUCUACCCGUUCACUAACUGUAUUACAAUACCUUUCAAUUGUGGCUCGGUAAAUUUUUAUUUUUUUGUUUUACAGUCGUAAAUACUUUUGGUUUUAUUCGUCCAUUAACCAACAAUAAUUGAAUUCUCUUCAAUCGGUGAAAUUGAUCAAGCAUCCUUUUCUUCAAAGAUUCAUAACACCAUAAUCGAAAGCGACAACUAAUGUCUCACUCGCUCAACUUUCCAUCAACCCCUCAUGAAUUGUCCGUAAGAAUUUAGACCACUACCAUGCCCCCAGCACAAAGCUGUAAAAGGUGUCCUCCAUGGAUCGGCAUGAUGCUAUUACUAUUAGUUUCACUGCAAAGAUUCUCCAUAGUAUUAUUAGGACUUAGUUCAUAGUACCGCUAGGUCGUCCACAGUUCUUGCAUAAAGCAACCAUGUAGACUAAAAUGCUAUCAAAAUAAUAAAACAUCAUCAAUGUCAAAUUUACCAAAUUCCCUUCUAAAUUAUCAUCAUUCUCAUUCCAAGUAAUUCAAAAGAAUUUAUUUCUAAAAUGUUUCCUUUAACUUCACAAAGUACAAAUUUUUUUUAUGAUUUUUUGGGCAAUAACUAACAAAAAUCCAAACCCUGAAGUUAAAAAAACAAAACCCUCCAAGAAAAUGCUUCCCACCGACACUCCAUAUCUCUACUUUCUCCAAAAGGACAAAACCAAACUCCAAACACAAAUAACAAAAAUAGAAAUAAAAGCAUCUAAUACCCAACAAAUUAAAAAAGCUUCAAGAGUUCUUCCGACUCCGCAACAAUGGCCGCCAUUGUCGAUCUCUUCACUCUUCUUCUUCUUCAUCUUCUUUUUACUCUCGCUUGUUCUCACUGCAUUGCCCGGCCGCCAGUGAUCUUCAACUUCGGGGAUUCGAACUCCGACACGGGCGGCCUUGUCGCCGGACUUGGGUUUCCAGUUCUUCUCCCCAAUGGCCGAUCCUUCUUCCGGAGAUCCACCGGCCGGCUGUCCGACGGACGUCUUCUCAUCGACUUUCUCUGUAAGUGGGCCCCUUCUCUUAGAAACUUUUUUAAUUAAAGAAAGUUUAUCAAUUGGAUUAUUACGUGGCGUUGGAUCUGAGCGUUUAUUGUGUUUGAUGAAAUGGGUUAUGAGAUCUGAAGUCUUUUGUGGUGUUGUUGUAAUUUAUGAGAGUUUUGGGGAUGAUAUUGAUGUUAUCAAAAUUUGAAAAUCUGUGUGGGCCCGGCUAUGUUUACGACUUGACAGUUGUAUCGGGUCGGAAUCGUGUGCGAGUGCUCAUAAUAUAGAUUUCUGUGUUCUCUAUUCCACGUGGCACCUCCUCUGUGAUCAGCGGGUCCCACCUAUCUUCCCUCCUUUUUUUUAUUAUUUUGGAGAAACACAAAGAAAAUAUAAAAUAAAUGAUUUUUUAAAAUAUAUUUUAGUUUUUUAAAGUAUAUUAUGUAAAUAGUUUUAAUAGACAACCUAACAUUUAAAAGUUUAAUUAUAUUUUAUAAAUAUUUUGAUUUAUUCUAAAGUAACAUUAAAAGUAACAUAGAAUUUAUUCCUCAUGCUUUUGAUAAAACUCUCUUAGUUAAAAUAUCAAUUUGUAUUAACUUUAUUUGUUACAAUGUUAAUAUUAUAAUUUUGGUUGUUGCUUAAAAGUUAGUCUCAAAAACUAAUUUGUUCUGCUUCUUUCAUCUAUUAACAUUUUUACACAUUUCUUUUGCAAAAUUACUAUUCUUCUUUGAUCCAUUUGAAAUACUAUUUAUAUGUUCAUAUACAUACUAUUUAUGCAAUUUAAAUUCUAAUACAAUAAUAAAAUAAUACCAUCAAUUUUGCAUCAACUUUUCUUUACAAUUUAUUUAUUUUUCCCUUUUUUAUUAAAAUGUGAUUGGAAUGAAUUUUAGGUUAAUUUUCAUAAAUAUAACAAAAAAAUUUAUGAAUCCGUGUAACAAAAUGAAAAGUUCCAUAAGCUUGUCCUUAAAUAAUGAGGAAGAUUUUUAAAUAUUUACCAAUUUCUUUGUUUUCUCUCCUAGAAUUUUUUUAUUCUUCUUUCAUUUUCUAUCUACUUUUUUUCUUCUUGGUACAAGAUUUAAAUGAUAUAUGUAUAUGAUUUAAAGGAUCGUGUAUUAAUAUCUAAACGAUCAAUUGUCUAUCUCACAUCAAUAGAGAUAGACCAGUAUCACUAAUAUACCAUUUAGAUUUGAUACAAUGUCAUUUAGAUUAGGUACAAUGGUACAAGAUUGUUUAGAUUGGGUACGAGAUCGUUUAAACUUGGUACAAACCAUUUUUUCACACUUGUCCAACCAAUUAAUUGCGGGUUAUUUUUGUUAUUUCACUUUCUUUUUUUAAAAUGAUUCUAUAUCGUGUAAAUAUUUUUGCGUUUUAUUCUGUUUUUUAAUUUUAAAGACUUUCUGGGUUAAAGAUACAGUUAAAUUUUAGUAAUUCUCUAGAGUUAAUAUUUAUUGAUUCUAUUUACUUAUUGUGAUAAUUUGUCAAUAUGUGAUGUCCCCAUAGAAUAAAAAAAGAUAGGGUUUUCCUUUGCUUAUUGUCAAAUCAUUUAUUAGAAAAAAGAAUAAUUAGCAAAAGGUUGUAAAUUGAAUAAUUUUAAUUAGGAACAAACCCCAAAAGAAAUCAUCACUUCAAUCAAUCUUAAAAUGGAAUCUAGAUAUUUUGAAUGGAUUAAUAUAAACUUAUCAGUUACACCUAACUCUAAAGCCUCAUUUAUAAUGAUUUUGAUUAAAGCAAAAAAAAAAAAAAAAAAAAAAAAAAAUUGUAAAAGUAACCUCCCUUUUAUUCUUGACAUUUGGCUAUGAUUAUUGGAGCAUUAACCUAAAAAGAGUAAAAACGAGAUAGUUAUCCAAUGGAUACUAUAACGUGAUCAUGGAAUUUUGUUUGGUUUGGGUUUUGCAGGUGAGAGCUUGAACACAAAGUUGUUAAACCCUUACAUGGAUUCAUUAGCAGGAUCAAAUUUUAAAAAUGGAGCAAACUUUGCAAUUGUUGGAUCUUCCACUCUUCCCAAAUAUGUUCCUUUCUCUCUCAACAUUCAACUCAUGCAGUUCCUUCACUUUAGAUCCCGAACGCUCGAACUUCUUAACGCAAAUCCCGGUAUUCUUAUGAAUUUUAUAUCCAUAGAGAUGUGUUAUGUCAUUGUUAUUUUUUCUCUUUUCUUUUUGCCCCAUUUCUAUAGGUAAAGAGCAAAGUUGAUUGAGAUUUUCUUGUCUCGUUUUAGGUCAUGGUAAUUUGAUUGAUGAUAGCGGUUUUAGGAACGCGUUGUACAUGAUCGACAUCGGCCAAAAUGACAUUGCUGACUCUUUUUCCAAAAACCUUUCGUACUCCCAAGUGAUUAAUCUAAUUCCAUCCAUCAUUUCAGAAAUCAAGAAUGCUGUGAAGGUGAGAGUGGACCUUGUGAUUACUAGUACUAGCGCACUUGUAUUUGGAAGAUUUUUUUUAUUUUUCUUAAUUAUGCCGUCUUCUAUUGAAAAAACUAAUGUUUUUCCAGGCAUUGUAUGAACAAGGUGGAAGGAAAUUUUGGAUACACAACACAGGACCAUUAGGUUGUUUACCUCAAAAAAUCUCAUUGUUUCCCAUGAAAGGUCUUGAUCGACACGGAUGCAUUUCCAGCUUCAACGCCGUAGCGACAUUGUUCAAUACAGCGUUAAGAAGUUUAUGUCAAAACAUGAGAGAUGAAUUGAAAGACACGAGUAUUGUUUACGUUGAUAUUUACGCUAUCAAAUACGAUCUCAUUGCCAACUCUUCAUUAUACGGUAAGUUCAAACCCUCACUCCUGAUCAUAAGUUUACUUAUGUACAUUAACUCAGAUAAACGAUCAUCUUCGUAGGUUUUUCCAAUCCUCUAAUGGCGUGUUGUGGCGCCGGGGGACCUCCAUACAAUUACAACAUUAGAGUGACAUGUGGUCAGCCAGGAUAUGAAGUUUGUAACGAAGAUUCAAAGUUCAUAAGUUGGGAUGGCAUUCAUUAUAGUGAAGAAGCAAACAAGAUUGUGGCUUCAAAAGUACUUUCAACAGCUUAUUCAACUCCACCAUUGCCUUUUGAUUUCUUUUGCCACAAUUAAUUGAUUUCAUUUCAUAUCAUUAAGAAACAACCUGUUUUUCUUUUUCAUCGGUUGUGUUCAUGCGUUGCUUCACUUGAAACAAUUUUGGAGGCCAAUUGUAUAUUCUUUGCAAUUUUUUCUCAAAAAUGAUGUUGAUUUUUUUUCUUCUAAACAACAACUGAUUUUCAAUGCAUAAUUUUGGAGAGAAAAAAGCAAAUGAUUGGGAAAAAUAACUACAUACAAAAUAACUAAAUACACAUGUCAACAUGGAAACUACAUAGAUGAGUAAAGUGCUAUCACUAUCUUAUGUGUGAACAUCAUGCCAUUUUCUAACCAACUUCAUUUUAGAUUAAGUUAAUGCUUAAAGAAGUAAAUGUUUAUAUUAGUUUUCAUGUUUGAUAAGAAUUUUGUUUUUAUUUUUUUAACCCAAUUUCUUUACCGUAGUUUUCAUUUUUCAAGAAGUAAUAAGUAAGGUAGAUAAGUUUAGCUUUAGAAAAUAGAAAUUAGUUUGAAAACAACCCAAUUUAUGGUUACUGAUUUUUCAAUUGUGACUAUAGAGAAUUGUAUAUGAAAUAUAAAAUAAUUAACUUUUUUUUUUUUUAUAAUUUUAGCUUUGCUUAACUUAAAGAUGUAUUAAUAUAAUCAAGAAGUUUAUAGUUGGAAUGCCUAACUCUGAUCUGCUACAAACAUAUAUAUUUUAUAUAUAGAAAAGAAGAGCAUAAAUUCUAGAUGGACAAUUGAUUAUCGUUACAUACAAGAAAAUGUGAUAACAAAGAUAGGAUUGAACUAAAAUCAAGGGAUGGUUGGAGUUGGUGUAAACGAUUCAACUUGGAUUUUAAACACUGCUGAGCUUUAGUAGUUGAAUCUUACUUUCUUAAUCUACUUCUUCUACUUCUUCCAAUUAUGAUGAGUCAAAUCCUAAAGCACAAACAUACUAACUCGAGCAUAUGAACUUGAGAUUGAUUAACCUCACUUUCGGUCCUAAAAAAACGUUGCUUCAUUCUCACAAAGAGUACCUUUGUCUUCAACAACUUUUCCCUUGAAACCACAUUAAUUAAAAUUUGCCAUAGAGUACCAAAGAAAGGUUCUUCAAAUUCUCAAUGGAAACAGAACACAAGAAACAGAGCAAGCUCAAAAGCAUAAACCAAAAUGCUAAGAAGAUAACAACCAAAUUAGAAUAAAGGUAAACCAAAAACAACGACCCAUUAUAAAACAGUGUUAAUAACACACAAAAAAGCAACAAAAAAAAAAAAAAUCAAAGAGAGAGAUUAAGGUCAAGCCCAUUUUUCCCUUUUCCUACCUUAUCUUCAUCUUCAUCUUGUUCUUGUUCUUGUUUCUGUUCAUUGCUCUGUUUUUCUGUUGAAGAUGAAGCAGCUGAUAAUUGAAGAGGAGUUAUGUUGGACUUAUUAUUGUAAUUAUAACCAUCUUCUUCAAUGAAAUCUUCUGGUUGAAACUUUGGAUUCCAAACCCCUUUUGAUUUCUCUUCUUCGGUUAAUUCUUUUGAAUAUUUCAUUCUGUCUCUCAUGGCCUUUGUGUUUUGAAUCAAAGCAUAGAACAACUCCAUCUUUUUCUCUUCUUCUUCUUCUUCUUCUUCAUUUUCUU
rnacentral:lncRNA from 1 species